UUAAAAGUUUGAGUGCAUUACCUGAAUUUUCUUGGGUUAGAUGGCUUUUCAUCUGACAGCUCAACAGAAAAGUUCAACAAUGGGGGAAUCUUUAGUUUUGUCCUGAUUGUUUACGCUUUUACAUUUACACGAAAAUCUACAACUGCAGCAGCAAAUUAAUAUAAAGUUCCAAAAUCUCGUACCACUAUGUUUAACAAAAAUUAAAACUGUGCUAAAACAUUUUUAUUGUGCUUUCAAAAUGGUCAAGUUAUGAUGACAUUUUGAAAUUUGAUAAUCCUUUAAAGGAAACUACAAUCCUAGAAUUUUUAACGACAAAAUCAUCUUUAAUCGUAAAAAAAGAAAAAACAAGUAGUGAUCAACAGGGUGUUUUUUAUUUUUUUAGAAUUAUUAUAAGAGUUCUGACAUAAAAAAAAAACCUUGUGUAAAGUUGCGCUUGUCUGUGAAAGUGCAUUACUUAUGAAUUAUUAAUUUUGUUUUUGUAUUUGUACUUUUUUCUCAAUUGUGUAUGUGUAUUUUGUACUCACGUCUUUUUGUUUUUAUGUAUUUUAAACUUAUGUCCUACAACUUGUGUGUUGUAAAUGUGUAGCCCUUAGUUGUA